rnacentral:lncRNA from 1 species
CUCUAGCAUUCAAUUAGAGAGAGAGAUUUGCUUGUGUUCUUUCGAGCUCUUGCGCUUGGAUUGCUUUCUUCCUUCUUGAUUCUUUCUUGCGAUCAAACUCACUUGUAAUUAAGGCAAGAGACACCAAUCUUGUGGUGGUCCUUGUAGGAACCUUGUGUUCCAAGUUGAGAGCACCUAGAGGGGGGGGGUGAAUAGGUGAUCCUGUAAAAACUUCAAACUUAAGCCACAAAAAACUUGUUAAGUGUUAGCACGAUUAUUGCCAAGUGGCUAAGGUGAAGUCUCAACAAUCUCAACAAAACACAGUACCACAAGAGAAUCAAGCACAGAGUGACACAGUGGUUUUAUCCCGUGGUUCGGCCAAGACCAACGCUUGCCUACUCCACGUUGUGGCGUCCCAACGGACGAGGGUUGCAAUCAACCCCUCUCAAGCGGUCCAAAGACCCACUUGAAUACCACGGUGUUUUGUUUUCCUUUCACUAUCCCGUUUGCAAGGAAUCUCCACAAAUUGGAGUCUCUUGCCCUUACAAGUAUAUGAUCACAAAUGAAACACAGAGUAAGGGAGGGAAGCAACACACACAAAUCCACAGUAAAAGCGCACACACACGGCCAAGAAUCGAGCUCACAAGACUAUCUCAGAGUUCUCACUUAGAACAGAGCUCGAAUCACUUAGAAACACAAACGAAUGCGCAGAGACUUAGUGUGGAUGAUCAAGAAUGCUCAAAGGUUGCUUGUGUGUCUCCUCCAUGCGCCUAGGGGCUCCUUUUAUAGCCCCAAGGCAGCUAGGAGCCGUUGAGAGCAAAUCUGGAAGGCCAUCUUUGCCUUCUGUCUCGUGGCGCACCGGACAGUCCGGUGCACACCGGACACUGUCCGGUGCCCGAUUUGUUUCCUUAAAUGGCGAAGCCGACCGUUGCCGACCGUUGCAGAUCUGGCGCACCGGACAGUCCGGUGCACACCGGACAGUCCGGUGCUUCCUUCCGACCGUUGGCUCGGCCACGUGUCGCGCGCCGAUCGCGCGGCCGACCGUUGGCCCGGCCGACCGUUGGCUCACCGGACAGUCCGGUGCACACCGGACAGUCCGGUGAAUUUUAGCCGUACGCCGCCGGCCAAUUUCCCGAGAGCGGCCAGUUCGAGUCGCGCCAGCCUGGCACACCGGACACUGUCCGGUGCACACCGGACAGUCCGGUGCUCCAGACCGAGCUGGGUCUUGGCAGCACACAGCCAAGUCCCUUCUCCUUUUCUCUAUUCUUCUUCUUUCUGUUUCUAACACUUAGACAAAUAUAUUAGUACUUAAAACCAAUGUACUAAGGCUUAGAAACAUACCUUUACUUCAUGAUUUUCACCUUGUUCAUCCAUGUACAUAAAUUCCCAAUUAAGCACAUGUGUUGGCACUCAAUCACCAAAAUACAUAGAAAUGGCCCAAGGGCACAUUUCCCUUUCAAUCUCCCCCUUUUUGGUGAUUUAUGCCAACACAACAUAAAGCAACUAGAACAAGUGCAAACUCACUUCAAAUAAAAUAAAUUUAAGUUUUAUUCAAUUUUGGCAUAUAUGGAUCAUCCUUUGCCACCACUUGGUUUGUUUUUGCAAAUCAAACUCAAAUCUCUAUCUCUAAGUCAAACACACAUGUUGAAGUAUAAAGAGAGUCAUUCCAAAAGAGAUUGAUCAAAGAUUUCAAAAACUCCCCCUAUUUCCCAUAAUCAACACUUCUCCCCACAAGAAGCCAACUUUUGACAAUAGAGACAAUAAGAGACAAUAAAAGCUUUUGACAAAACAAAAACUCUAUUCUACUAUUUUCAAAAUCUCUCAAGUGGUAGCUGAUCCAUUUAUCACUUUGGCCUUUAUUUUCUCCCCCUUUGGCAUCAAGCACCAAAACGGGAUCAAUCUUGGCCCGUUAACCCCAUUGCCUCACCAAAGUCUUCAAUUAAGAGCAAAUGGCAAUAAGAUUUCAUGAGAUGAACUUGGAAUUAGUUACCCUCUCAUCGGAGUGCAGUGGAAGUCUUUCAUGGUCCAAGUUCACCUUUUCCCUUUCAAUCCUCCUUCGAGACUAAAUUAUCAAACUCAAGCACAAGGUUAGUCUCAAAGGGUCAAGUUGUAACACAUCUCCCCCUAAACAUGUGCAUCACUUUGCAACGGACUUGUGAGGUCCAGGGAGUGUUGGUACAACUUGAGCACCACAAUAAGCAACAAAAUGCAGAAUGAACCUGAUCAAAUGCAUAAACACAUGUAUGCUACAAUUCAAUCCAAGUUCCGCGAAUCUAAGACAUUUAGCUCACUACGCAGCCUGCAAAAGGUCUUCUCAUCUAGAGGCUUGGUGAAGAUAUCGGCUAGCUGGUUCUCGGUGCUAACAUGAAACACUUCGAUAUCUCCCUUUUGCUGGUGGUCUCUCAAAAAGUGAUGCCGGAUGUCUAUGUGCUUUGUGCGGCUGUGCUCAACAGGAUUCUCCGCCAUGCGGAUAGCACUCUCAUUGUCACAUAGGAGUGGGACUUUGCUCAGAUUGUAGCCAAAGUCCCUGAGGGUUUGCCUCAUCCAGAGUAGUUGCGCGCAACACUGUCCUGCGGCAACAUACUCGGCCUCAGCGGUGGAUAGGGCAACGGAAGUUUGUUUCUUAGAGUUCCAUGACACCAGGGACCUUCCUAAGAAUUGGCACGUCCCCGAUGUACUCUUCCUAUCGACCUUACAUCCAGCAUAGUCGGAGUCUGAGUAUCCAACUAAGUCAAAGGUAGACCCCUUUGGAUACCAGAGCCCGAAGCAAGGCGUAGCAACCAAAUAUCUAAGAAUUCGCUUCACCGCCACUAAGUGACACUCCUUAGGAUCGGAUUGAAAUCUAGCACACAUGCAUACGCUAAGCAUAAUAUCCGGUCUACUAGCACAUAAGUAAAGCAAAGAACCUAUCAUUGACCGGUAUGCUUUUUGAUCAACGGACUUACCUCCUUUGUUGAGGUCGGUGUGUCCGUCGGUCCCCAUCGGAGUCUUUGCGGGCUUGGCGUCCUUCAUCCCAAACCGCUUUAGCAGAUCUUGCGUGUACUUCGUUUGGGAGAUGAAGGUGCCGUCCUUGAGUUGCUUCACUUGGAACCCAAGGAAGUAGUUCAACUCGCCCAUCAUCGACAUCUCGAAUUUCUGCGUCAUCACCCUGCUAAACUCUUCACAAGACUUUUGGUUAGUAGAACCGAAUAUUAUGUCAUCGACAUAAAUUUGGCACACAAACAAAUCACCAUUACAAGUCUUAGUAAAAAGAGUUGGAUCGGCUUUCCCAACCUUGAAAGCAUUAGCAAUUAAGAAAUCUCUAAGGCAUUCAUACCAUGCUCUUGGGGCUUGCUUAAGUCCAUAGAGCGCCUUAGAGAGCUUACACACAUGGUCGGGGUACCGUUCAUCCUCGAAGCCAGGGGGUUGCUCCACGUACACUUCCUCCUUGAUUGGCCCGUUGAGGAAGGCGCUCUUCACAUCCAUUUGAAACAACCUGAAAGAAUGGUGAGCGGCAUAUGCUAGCAAGAUACGAAUUGAUUCUAGCCUAGCCACAGGAGCAAAAGUCUCCUCGAAAUCCAAACCUGCGACUUGGGCAUAACCUUUUGCCACAAGUCGAGCCUUGUUCCUCGUCACCACCCCGUGCUCGUCCUGUUUGUUGCGGAACACCCACUUGGUUCCCACAACAUUUUGCUUCGGACGAGGCACCAGUGUCCAAACUUCAUUGCGCUUGAAGUUGUUUAACUCCUCUUGCAUGGCCAACACCCAGUCCGGAUCUAGCAAGGCCUCUUCUACCCUGAAAGGCUCAAUAGAAGAGACAAAGGAGUAAUGCUCACAAAAAUUAACUAAUCGAGAUCGAGUAGUUACUCCCUUGCUAAUGUCACCCAGAAUUUGGUCGACGGGAUGAUCCCUUUGAAUCAUUGCUCGAACUUGGGUUGGAGGUGCCGGUUGCACUUCUUCCUCCAUCACUUGAUUAUCUUGUGCUCCCCCUUGAUCAAGCGCCUCCACUUGAGGUACCUGUUCGUCAUCUUUGGUUGGGGGAUGCACCAUAGUUGAGGAAGAAGGUUGAUCUCGUUCAUCUUGUUCCUGUGGCCGUACUUCUCCAAUCGCCAUGGUCCGUAUAGCGGCUGUCGGAACAUCUUCUUCAUCUACAUCAUCACAAUCAACAACUUGCUCUCUUGGAGAGCCAUUAGUCUCAUCAAAUACAACGUCGCUAGAGACUUCAACCAAACCCGAUGAUUUGUUGAAGACUCUAUACGCCUUUGUAUUUGAGUCAUAACCUAACAAAAACCCUUCUACAGCUUUGGGAGCAAACUUAGAAUUUCUACCCUUCUUCACUAGAAUGUAGCAUUUACUCCCAAAUACACGAAAGUACGAUACAUUGGGUUUGUUACCGGUUAGUAGCUCAUACGACGUCUUCUUGAGGAGGCGAUGAAGGUAGACCCUGUUGAUGGCGUGGCACGCCGUGUUCACGGCUUCCGUCCAAAAGUACUCGGGGGUCUUGAACUCUCCCAGCAUCGUCCUCGCCAUGUCAAUGAGCGUCCUGUUCUUCCUCUCUACUACACCAUUUUGCUGUGGUGUGUAGGGAGCGGAGAACUCGUGCUUGAUCCCUUCUUCUUCAAGGAACUCCUCCACUUGAAGGUUCUUGAAUUCGGACCCGUUGUCGCUCCUUAUCUUCUUCACUUUGAGCUCAAACUCAUUUUGAGCCCUCCUGAGGAAGCGCUUGAGGGUCCCUUGGGUUUCAGACUUAUCCUGCAAAAAGAACACCCAAGUGAAGCGGGAAAAGUCAUCAACAAUAACUAGACCAUACUUACUUCCCCCUAUGCUUAGAUAGGCGACGGGUCCGAAGAGAUCCAUAUGCAGCAGCUCCAGGGGUCUUGAAGUGGUCAUCACAUUCUUGCUGUGAUGCGCUCCUCCCACCUGUUUCCCUGCUUGACAAGCUGCACAAGGUCUAUCUUUUUCGAAAUGAACAUUGGUUAGACCUAUCACAUGUUCUCCCUUUAGAAGCUUGUGGAGGUUCUUCAUCCCCACAUGUGCUAAGCGGCGAUGCCACAGCCAGCCCAUGCAAGUCUUAGCCAUUAAGCAUGCAUCUAGACCGGCCUCUUCUUUUGCAAAAUCAACUAAAUAAAGUUUGCCGUCUAAUACACCCUUAAAAGCUAGUGAACCAUCACUUCUUCUAAAGACAGACACAUCUACAUUUGUAAAUAAACAAUUAUAUCCCAUUUGACAUAAUUGACUGACAGAUAGCAAAUUAUAUCCAAGACUCUCCACUAAGAAUACAUUUGAUAUAGAAUGCUCAUUAGAAAUUGCAAUUUUACCUAGCCCUUUUACCUUGCCUUGAUUCCCAUCACCGAAUAUAAUUGAAUCUUGGGAAUCCUUAUUUUUGACGUAGGAGGUGAACAUCUUCUUCUCCCCCGUCAUAUGGUUUGUGCAUCCGCUGUCAAUAAUCCAGCUUGAACCCCCGGAUGCAUAAACCUGCAAGGCAAAUUUAGGCUUGGGUCUUAGGUACCCAACUCAUGUUGGGUCCUGCAAGGUUAGCACAAAUGUCCUUAGGGACCCAAAUGCAAGUCCUGUCUCCCUUGCAUUUUGCCCCUAACUUCCUAGCAACUAUUUUCCUAUCCUUUCUACAAAUAGCAAAGGAAGUGUUUAAAGCACAAUAAAUUAUAGAAGGUUCAUUCACUACUUUCCUAGGAGCAUGAAUAACAUUCUUUCUAGGCACAUGAGCAAUAUUUCUCCUAGGCAUAUCCCUAUCAUGCUUAUAAGAAGAACUGGAGGCAAACAUGGCAUGAGAAUCAUAAACAUGUGAAUCAAAAUCAUUAUAAGCAUUUCUAGCAUUUCUCCUAUCAUAAUACAUAAAAGCAUGGUUCUUUUUAGCAUUACUAGCCAUAGGGGCCUUCCCUUUCUCCUUGACGAAGAUGGGAGCCUUAUGGCUUGUUAAGUUCUUGGCCUCUCUCUUGAAGCCAAGACCAUCCUUAAUUGAGGGGUGUCUACCAACCGUAUAGGCAUCCCUUGCAAAUUUUAUUUUAUCAACUUCAUUCUUGCUAGUCUUAAGUUGGGCAUUAAGACUAGCCACUUCCUUAUUUAAUUUGGAAAUUAAAACUAGAUGUUCACUACAGGCAUCAACAUCGAAAUCCUUACACCUAGUGCAAAUCUUAACAUGUUCUACACAAGAAUUAGAUUUAUUUGCUACUUCUAACUUAGCAUUUAAAUCAUUGUUAACACCUUGUAAAGUAGAAAUGGUUUCAUGACAAGUAGAUAGUUCAUAAGAAAGCAUUUCAUUUCUUUUUACUUCUAAAGCAUAUGAUUUUUGUGCCUCUACGAAUUUAUCAUGUUCAUCAUACAAUAAAUCCUCCUGCUUUUCUAAAAGCCUAUCCUUUUCAUUCAAUGCAUCAAUCAAUUCAUUGAUUUUAUCUAUCUUAGAUCUAUCUAAGCCCUUGAACAAGCAUGAAUAAUCUAUGUCAUCAUCACUAGACUCACUAUCACUAGAAGAAGCAUAAGUGGAGUCUUGAGUACUCACCUUCUUCUCCCUUGCCAUAAGACAUGUGAGACGCUCGUUGGGGAAGAGAGCCGAUUUGUUGAAGGCAGUGGCGGCGAGUCCUUCGUUGUCGGAGUCGGAGGAGGAGCAAUCCGAGUCCCACUCCUUUCCUAGAUGCGCCUCGCCCUUUGCCUUCUUGUAUUGCUUCUUCUUUUCUCUUUUGUUCCCCUUUUCCUGGUCACUUUCAUUAUCGGGACAGUUAGCGAUAAAAUGACCAAGCUUACCGCAUUUGAAGCAUGAGCGCUUCCCCUUGGUCUUGGUCUUGCUUGGCUGCCCCUUGCGACCAUUUAGCGCCGUCUUGAAUCUCUUGAUGAUGAGAGCCAUCUCUUCAUCGUUGAGUCCGGCCGCCUCAAUUUGUGCCACCUUGCUAGGUAGCGCCUCCUUGCUUCGUGUUGCCUUGAGAGCGAGAGGUUGCGGCUCGUUGAUCGGACCAUUCAAGGCAUCGUCCACAUAUCUCGCCUCCUUGAUCAUCAUUCGCCCGCUAACAAAUUUCCCAAGAACUUCUUCGGGCGACAUCUUGGUGUACCUGGGAUUUUCACGUAUAUUGUUCACCAAGUGAGGAUCAAGAACGGUAAAUGACCUUAGCAUUAGGCGGACGACGUCGUGGUCCGUCCAUCGCGUGCUCCCGUAGCUUCUUAUCUUGUUGAUAAGGGUCUUGAGCCGAUUGUAUGUUUGCGUUGGCUCCUCGCCCCUUAUCAUUGCGAACCGUCCAAGCUCGCCCUCCACCAACUCCAUCUUGGUGAGUAAGGUGACGUCGUUCCCCUCAUGAGAAAUCUUGAGGGUGUCCCAGAUUUGCUUGGCGUUAUCCAAGCCGCUCACCUUAUGGUAUUCAUUCCUGCACAAGGAAGCUAGAAGAACAGUAGUAGCUUGCACAUUCUUAUGAAUUUGUUCAUUAAUGAACAUGGGACUAUCCGAACUAUCAAAAUGCAUUCCACUCUCUACAAUCUCCCAUAUACUAGGAUGGAGAGAGAAUAGGUGACUACGCAUUUUGUGGCUCCAAAAUCCGUAGUCCUCUCCAUCAAAGUGUGGGGGCUUGCCGAGUGGAAUGGAGAGCAAAUGAGAAUGUGAACUUUGCGGAAUACGAGAGUAAUCAAAAGAAAAGUUCGAAUUAACCGGUUUUCUUCUCUCGUAGUCGUUGUGGUCCUCGUCCUUGUGGGAAGAAGUAGACUCGUCGCUGUCGUAGUAGAUGAUCUCCUUGAUGCGCCUGGUCUUCUUCUUCUUCCCUUCCUUCCGUCUUUGGCCCGAGCCGGAGUCGGUAGGCUUAUCGUCCUUCGGCUCGUUGACGAAGGAUUCCUUCUCUUUGUCGUUGAUCACUAUACCCUUCCCCUUAGGAUCCAUCUCUUCGGGCGGUUAGUCCCUUUGUGAAGAGAACGGCUCCGAUACCAAUUGAGAGCACCUAGAGGGGGGGGGGGGUGAAUAGGUGAUCCUGUAAAAACUUCAAACUUAAGCCACAAAAAACUUGUUAAGUGUUAGCACG